UACAGAGGUCCCAAGCGUUGUUCGGAUUCAUUGGGCGUAAAGGGUGCGUAGGUGGCGUCGUAAGUCGGGUGUGAAAUCUCGGGGCUUAACUCCGAAACUGCAUUCGAUACUGCGGUGCUUGAGGACUGGAGAGGAGACUGGAAUUUACGGUGUAGCAGUGAAAUGCGUAGAGAUCGUAAGGAAGACCAGUGGCGAAGGCGGGUCUCUGGAAAGUUCCUGACACUGAGGCACGGAAGGCCAGGGGAGCAAACGGG
rnacentral:rRNA from 1 species